GACGAACGCUGGCGGCGUGCUUAACACAUGCAAGUCGAACGGAAAGGCCCUGCUUUUGUGGGGUGCUCGAGUGGCGAACGGGUGAGUAACACGUGAGUAACCUGCCCUUGACUUAGGGAUAACUUCAGGAAACUGGGGCUAAUACCGGAUAGGAGCUCCUGCUGCAUGGUGGGGGUUGGAAAGUUUCGGCGGUUGGGGAUGGACUCGCGGCUUAUCAGCUUGUUGGUGGGGUAGUGGCUUACCAAGGCUUUGACGGGUAGCCGGCCUGAGAGGGUGACCGGCGACCUUGGGACUGAGAGAGGGACCAGAGUCCAACGGGGGGCAGAAGUGGGGAAUCUUGCACAAUGGGCGGAAGCCUGAUGCAGCAACCCCGGGUGCGGGAUGACGGCCUUCUGGUGGUAAACCGCUGUCGCCUGUGACGAAGCUGGAGUGACGGUAAUGGGUAAAGAAGCACCGGCUAACUACGUG
rnacentral:rRNA from 1 species